GAUGAACGCUGGCGGCGUGCCUAAUACAUGCAAGUCGAGCGAACAGAUGAGGAGCUUGCUCCUCUGACGUUAGCGGCGGACGGGUGAGGAACACGUGGAUAACCUACCUAUAAGACUGGGAUCACUUAGGGAAACCGGAUCUAGUACCGGAUAAGAUGUUGAACCGCAGGGUUCAAUAGUGAAAGAGGGUUUUGCUGUGACUAAUAGAUGGAUCCGCGCCGCAUUAGCUAGUUGGUAAGGUAACGGCUUACCAAGGCAACGAUGCGUAGCCGACCUGAGAGGGUGAUCGGCCACACUGGAACUGAGACACGGUCCAGACUCCUACGGGAGGCAGCAGUAGGGAAUCUUCCGCAAUGGGCGAAAGCCUGACGGAGCAACGCCGCGUGAGUGAUGAAGGUCUUCGGAUCGUAAAGCUCUGUUAUUAGGGAAGAACAAAUGUGUAAGUAACUAUGCACGUCUUGACGGUACCUACUCAGAAAGCCCCGGCUAACUACGUG
rnacentral:rRNA from 1 species